rnacentral:lncRNA from 1 species
GAGGAAGACUAGCAGGGGGAAGGAUGAGCGUCUGGCUUUCUACAGACAAAGAGGUUUCUUGCUUCUUUGGCCAGGAUCCUCUUCCACUAUGUGGCUUUGUGUGGAGUUGGUAGAGGAGCAGAUCUCAGGUUUUCUGGAUAAAGGAUCUGGUGAUAAGUGGCUGACAGUCUUACUCCACUGCUUCUCUUCCUGUAAAGCUCAACGUAAUUGUGGUUCAUGCUAUUAUAAUACUGGUAUCCUGUUUACCUGUGGGUGGCAGGUGCUCCUGUCCACCCAAGGGGGGACUUUCCCUUCCCUACUUUUCCAAGAAGUGACACCAGUGACUCAUAAAUAGUUAACCUGUGUGCUGGUCAUAGGAUUUUUACUGAGCUUUUCAGUUGGGAAUGUCAUCACCUCUCAUUAUAAUGUCCACUCUUCCUUCUGCCUUCACUGGCACAUGUAUACACAUACGGGGGCUGUCAGGUAGUGGGAUAGAACACCCUUCUCCAAGAUGCUGCUGUUCUUUUCCACUUCUAAAGCUGACACCUCUGGCUUGCACCCUGCCUUUUCCAGGUUGAAGUAGACAGAAACUGGCUGUGUUCUGUUUCAAAGUGAUGCUACUGUUUAUUCAUUUUGCCAUUGUCUUAAAGGUCCUAUAUUUAGCGUGAGAGCGCUUAUUGGGAAAAAUAUUUAUUUUUUUAGCUAUCGUAACACCAUUUCCAGAUUUUUUUAAUCUUUCUGUUUUAAACAAAAAACACACCUGGUACUUGAAGCUUCUGUUUGCACCAUAUUACUGCAUAGUCUUGGCUGGGAUUGAAUGUCACCUGGAACUCAGAUACGAGGCACAGAUGAGGCUGUCCAACACAGCACAAUCAGACAAUCUUCUGGAACACAAACCAGCAUGGGAAGUGGAAUGCAAUGGGAAGCCUUCAUUGUGUAGACAGAGGGGCACCCACUUUCCAAAUCAAGGAUGUUACCUGCCCAGUUUGAACUUGUCUGGGGGGAAAGCUUCCAGUUCGUGUAGUAGCUACUUUGAAAACUGAUAAUUUACAUAUUCAAGGACAAAUGUUAACUGCACCUGCUGACAUUUGCUAUGUAAGAGAGUGCUGGCUUCUCUGAUCCUUUAAUUAAACUCUUAUAUGCUUUUGCUUCAGGAAGGACUUCUAAUGGUUGUGAAGCUAGCCCCUAUUUGUCAUACCUUUUAGUUUGAACCAGGUGAGUUUGCUUUUAAACUGCUGUAUACGUCUCAGGACUAGCUUCAGGUCAUGAGUGUGUACCUAAGUAAUGAUGGAACUGUGUAGUUUUUACACCGAGUGCUUUUUUUAGUAAUGAUGGUGAGUAGCAUUGCUGUUAAC